GACUACGGCCAUGCCACCCUGAACAAGCCCGAUCUCGUCUGAUCUUGGAAGCUAAGCAGGGUCCGGCCUGGUUAGUACCUGGAUGGUAGACCACCUAGGAAUACCAGGUGCUGUAGGCA
rnacentral:rRNA from 1 species